GCGGAUAUAGUUGAAUGGUAAAAUUUCUCUUUGCCAAGGAGAG
rnacentral:tRNA from 34 species